rnacentral:lncRNA from 1 species
AUUGUCAAACUGAAAUUAUGCUGAUAUGAUAUACAUAUAUUUUAUAAAUGUUUAUAUUUUAUAUUUUUCAGUUAACUAACAAAUGGAUUCUGAUGAAGAUUUGGAGGCAUUACUAGAUAAUAAGACUGAGAAAGAGGAAGUUCAAGAAAGACUUGCAAAGGAAAAAAAAUCUUUACCUAAAGAAAGUACUAAAAACCAGCAAACUGAAGAUAACCUGCAUGAUGAAAGAAUACAAACAGAAGCCCAAGAACAAACUCCACAGAAAGUAGCUCCAGCACACAAUGAAUUCUAAGUGAUUCUUGAAAGACAGAAGGCAACUGAAUAGAACUAAAAUGCACUAUUGGGCAACACUGCCUAACACAGUAUAGUAAUGCAAACACUAAUGAAGUGGGUAAGUGUCAGAAAUUACUAUUUAAAAACCUUGCCCUACUUUUUGGUGCAAAACACAGCAUCCUCUCUUUUCCAGUAGGCUGAUCUCAUGAACUCAUGAUCUCAUGAAUAUUAGAAGUAGAACUCCAUGAGGAUUUUGUCAGAGACUCCCAUGUCAGGUUCAAGGCUGAAUCAGAGCACAAUCCUAUUAAAUAUACAUUCAUUUGGAAUUUUGCUAAGUGUGUAUCUCUGUAUGUGGUUCAUAUGCAGAAUGCAAGCAUUUAACAGCUUGAAAAACUAAAAAAUUAUAGUUAUGUAUUUUACUGUUAGUAAUAUGAUCUACAGUAUAUACUAGAGGGUCAGUGAAAGAACUGUCACAAACUGCAUUCUAAAAAUGUAUGCUUCCUUGAUUAUAGUUGUGGCUGAAGUAGAAGAACAAGAUACAUUAACUGAAGCAUUACGGGACAGAGUAAAAGAAAAGCUGAAAACUGUCAAGGUGAUAGUUUUAAUUGGUCUGUAACUAAGUGAAAAAAGUGCAGAAUAUUGAUUUAUGAAAGAAAGAAAAAAG